rnacentral:rRNA from 1 species
AUUGAACGCUGGCGGCAUGCCUUACACAUGCAAGUCGAGCGGGGUUUUCGGACUUAGCGGCGGACGGGUGAGUAAUGCGUAGGAAGCUGCCCGAUAGAGGGGGAUACCAGUUGGAAACGACUGUUAAUACCGCAUAAUGUCUACGGACCAAAGUGUGGGACCUUCGGGCCACAUGCUAUCGGAUGCGCCUACGUGGGAUUAGCUAGUUGGUGAGGUAAUGGCUCACCAAGGCGACGAUCUCUAGCUGGUUUGAGAGGAUGAUCAGCCACACUGGAAAUGAGACACGGUCCAGACUCCUACGGGAGGCAGCAGUGGGGAAUAUGGGACAAUGGGCGCAAGCCUGAUCCAGCCAUGCCGCGUGUGUGAAGAAGGCCUUCGGGUUGUAAAGCACUUUCAGCGAGGAGGAAGGGGUUGUAGUUAAUAGCUGCAACCUUUGACGUUACUCGCAGAAGAAGCACCGGCUAACUCUGUGCCAGCAGCCGCCGUAACAC